rnacentral:rRNA from 1 species
UUCUGGUUGAUCCCGCCGGAGGUCACUGCUAUUGGGAUUCGACUAAGCCAUGCGAGUCGAGAGGGUUCGGCCCUCGGCAGACGGCUCAGUAACACGUGGAUAAUCUGCCCUUAGGUGGAGGAUAACCUCGGGAAACUGAGAAUAAUACUCCAUAGAUCUAGGAUGCUGGAAUGCACUUAGAUUAAAAGUUCCGACGCCUAAGGAUGAGUCUGCGGACUAUCAGGUUGUAGUCAGGGUAAAGACCUGACUAGCCUACGACGGAUACGGGUUGUGAGAGCAAUAACCCGGAGACGAUAUCUGAGACACGAUAUCGGGCCCUACGGGGCGCAGCAGGCGCGAAACCUUCACAAUGUACGAAAGCACGAUGAGGGAAUCCCAAGUGCUUGCUCGUAAGAGUAAGCUGUUUUUAUGUCUAAAAAGCAUAGAGAGUAAGGGCUGGGUAAGACGGGUGCCANGCCGCCGCGGUAA